ensembl:lncRNA
CAAGCGCGAAAGCCAGUGGCUGCUCCCGCUGCGUGCUCGGCACGUCUGAGCUUCUCAGUGCUUCUUAGUGCAGCUUGUAUAUUCCAGCUAGCAAACAGUAGUGUUGGGGCACUGGAACAGAAUCCUCACUGCAGUGGUCGUGGCAUGAAGCCUGCUGGAGUUCAAGAAGCAUUUAGACAAAUGUUUCAGAAAUAUGGCUUGAAUUUUGGAUGGUCCUAAAAUCUAGCUGAACUAGAUCAUUGGAUCUUUCUGGGUCCCUUCCAACACAAGAUAUUCUAUGGUUCUAUGAUUUUUCCCAUUGUAUGAAUAAUUACACUUGAGUACAGCAGAGUUAAGUAACUCUUUGGAAAAUAAUCUGUUAUAGGUCAGUACUGAAUUCUGAGAAA